rnacentral:rRNA from 1 species
CUGCUCAGUAACACGUGGAUAACCUACCCUUGAGACGGGGAUAAACCCGGGAAACUGGGUAUAAUACCCGAUAGAUCUCGACUGCUGGAAUGCAUCGAGCUUGAAAGCUCCGGCGCUCAAGGAUGGGUCUGCGGCCUAUCAGGUAGUAGUGGGUGUAGCGUACCUACUAGCCUACGACGGGUACGGGUUGUGAGAGCAAGAGCCCGGAGAUGGAUUCUGAGACACGAAUCCAGGCCCUACGGGGUGCAGCAGGCGCGAAAACUUUACAAUGCUGGAAACAGCGAUAAGGGGACCUCGAGUGCCAGGUUACAAAUCUGGCUGUCGUGAUGCCUAAAAAGCAUUGCAUAGCAAGGGCCGGGCAAGACCGGUGCCAGCCGCCGCGGUAACACCGGCGGCUCGAGUGGUAACCGUUAUUAUUGGGUCUAAAGGGUCUGUAGCCGGCCGGAUAAGUCUCUUGGAAAAUCUGGCAGCUUAACUGUCAGGCUUUCAGGAGAUACUGUCUGGCUCGAGGCCGGGAGAGGUGAGAGGUACUUCAGGGGUAGGGGUGAAAUCUUGUAAUCCUUGAAGGACCACCAGUGGCGAAGGCGUCUCACCAGAACGGACCUGACGGCAAGGGACGAAAGCUAGGGGCACGAACCGGAUUAGAUACCCGGGUAGUCCUAGCCGUAAAC